GAAAUAUCUAAAGUAAGCUUCUAACUUAUCUAAAAAGCACUUAAGUGUUUAUAUUUCU
rnacentral:tRNA from 1 species